UACCAUGCACGCGUUUCAGAAAACCC
rnacentral:piRNA from 1 species